GGAACCUUCGGGUUUUAGUGGCGAACGGGUGAGUAACACGUAAGCAACCUACCCUAAAGACGAGGAUAACCAUUGGAAACAGUGGCUAAGACUGGAUAGGAAGAUAAAAGGCAUCUUUUAUCUUUUAAAAGACCUAGUAAUAGGUAUGCUUUAGGAGGGGCUUGCGCCAUAUUAGUUAGUUGGUAGGGUAAUGGCCUACCAAGACGAUGAUGUGUAGCUGGACUGAGAGGUUGAACAGCCACAUUGGGACUGAGACACGGCCCAAACUCCUACGGGAGGCAGCAGUAGGGAAUUUUCGGCAAUGGAGGAAACUCUGACCGAGCAACGCCGCGUGAAUGACGAAGUACUUCGGUAUGUAAAGUUCUUUUAUCAAGGAAGAAAAGCAAAUGGCGAACCAUUUGUUUGCCGGUACUUGAUGAAUAAGCCCCGGCUAAUUAUGUGCCAGCAGCCGCGGUAAGACAUAAGGGGCAAGUGUUAUCCGGAAUUAUUGGGCGUAAAGGGUGCGUAGGCGGUCUAGUAAGUCAGUGGUGUAAUGGCAACGCUUAACGUUGUCCGGCUAUUGAAACUGCUAAACUUGAGUUAGAUAGAGGCGAGUGGAAUUCCAUGUGUAGCGGUAAAAUGCGUAAAUAUAUGGAGGAACACCAGAGGCGUAGGCGGCUCGCCUGGGUCUUAACUGACGCUGAGGCACGAAAGCGUGGGGAGCAAACAGGAUUAGAUACCCUGGUAGUCCACGCCGUAAACGAUGAGUACUAAGUGUCGGGUUAAACCGGUACUGAAGUUAACACAUUAAGUACUCCGCCUGAGUAGUACGUACGCAAGUAUGAAACUUAAAGGAAUUGACGGGACUCCGCACAAGCGGUGGAUCAUGUUGUUUAAUUCGAAGAUACCCGAAAAACCUUACCAGGUCUUGACAUGUUUUUGCAAAAUGAUAGUAAUAUCGUGGAGGUUACCAGAAACACAGGUGGUGCAUGGUUGUCGUCAGCUCGUGUCGUGAGAUGUUAGGUUAAGUCCUAAAACGAGCGAAACCCUUAUCGUUAGUUGCCAGCACGUUAUGGUGGGGACUUUAACGAGACUGCCAAUGAUAAAUUGGAGGAAGGUGAGGAUCACGUCAAAUCAGCAUGCCCCUUAUGACCUGGGCUACAAACGUGAUACAAUGGCUGUUACAAAGGGUAGCUGAAACGCAAGUUCUUGGCCAAUCCCCAAAAACAGUCCCAGUCCGGAUUGAAGUCUGCAACUCGACUUCAUGAAGUUGGAAUCGCUAGUAAUCGCGAAUCAGCAUGUCGCGGUGAAUACGUUCUCGGGGUUUGUACACACCGCCCGUCAAACCACGAAAGUUGGCAAUACCCCAAAACGGUAGCCUAACUCGUUUAUUCGAGAGGGCGCCGUCUAA
rnacentral:rRNA from 1 species